UCCUGACUCUUGUGUUUAACUAUAGCCCCAGUCUGACCAAAACUAUCUUUAUCCGUUAACUCUCGAGGUGUGGUCUCUCAGACAGCGCCAGAAUUUUCCAAGUCGCACUCGUAGGUCGUUCACGUCGGAACGUUUUUAUACAUCACCUAUCCUCAUUUAAUCACCAACCCUACAAAUAAUUAUUAUUGUCAGUUGCGUUAUUGCCUUAUUUGAUUUUUGUUUACAUGUGUUGUUGACAUGUGAUGUGGUCUCCUAGACCGCACCUUGUGAACUAAGCGCCUGCUUUCAUCAGUUCAGUACAAAAUGUGUUUGUGUUAUCAAGAAUGCGACAGUUUUACACACUCCAAGUUCGAUGAAAUUUUUAGUCAAUGGAUGGAGAAUGAUGUCAAUGAUAGAACAAGAAGUAGAUGAAAAAGACAGUGGUUUUUCAAUAGCCAGUGACCACAGUUCUGUUAGCGAACAAGAGGACCUUUCAGCGGAAGAACUUCGGGACAAUGGAGAUGAGGACCUUUCUGUUUCUCCAACAAUAUAUGAAGUGUUAGUUAAAAUUAAAUGUGUUCUGAAUGGUGUCAAAGAAAGAUGUAGAUCUCAGUACUGAAUAUUAAUUUUGCAGUCUUUCUCUGGUUAUUGAGUUCAGUUUUUAUAUGCAAGUUUAAUCCCGGGAAAUUAGUUUUGUGCGAAAAUUUGCAUUCUACAGAGAUACCAUAAUUUUUCAGAAGACGAUGUGCAGGCUUGGAAGGGGAGGUAACAUCCACAUCGGACAAACUGAAGUUACAAGGCAUAUCAGUCUACAUUACCACUGUGUAUGACAAAAACUGGUGGCUUUGGUACAUUUUAGAAAAAAAAGGAAGAACUUGAUGAAGUGAAAAUAAUUUUUUUUUCAUCCAUGUGGGCCAGCUACAUCAGUCUCAUGUCAUACAUAUGCAGAUGUCCUGUGGAUGUCAGUUUUUGGUUAACUGGUUUCAACUCAAAACUUAAUUUUUCCUAAGAUGCUGUCCAUUCCGUUCAACUGCUCUUCCAAGUCCUUAGCUGUCUCUGGCAGAACUACAAUGUCACAUUUAUUGACUGUUCUGUUGAUUCUUGGUAGAAUAUUUUAUACAUUAUGAAUGAAACACACACAACA